rnacentral:rRNA from 1 species
CCUACGGGCGGCUGCAGUGGGGGAUAUUGGGCAAUGGGCGCAAGCCUGACCCAGCAAUGCCGCGUGAAGGAAGAAGGCUUUCGGGUUGUAAACUUCUUUGACAGGGGAAGAGCAGAAGACGGUACCCUGAAAACAAGCCACGGCUAACUACGUGCCAGCAGCCGCGGUAAUACGUAGGUGGCAAGCGUUGUCCGGAUUUACUGGGUGUAAAGGGCGUGUAGCCGGGAAGGCAAGUCAGAUGUGAAAUCUGGAGGCUCAACCUCCAAAUUGCAUUUGAAACUGUUUUUCUGGAGUACUGGAGAGGCAGACGGAAUUCCUUGUGUAGCGGUGAAAUGCGUAGAUAUAAGGAGGAACACCAGUGGCGAAGGCGGUCUGCUGGACAGCAACUGACGGUGAGGCGCGAAAGCGUGGGGAGCAAACAGGAUUAGAUACUCCGGUAGUC